UGGCGGUGAUGACUUAUCUUAGGACACCUUUGGAAUAACCAUGAAAAGAUAAUUCCUUCUGAGCCAU
ensembl:snoRNA SNORD58 Small nucleolar RNA SNORD58